rnacentral:rRNA from 1 species
GGGUUGUGAGGUUAAGCGACUAAGCGUACACGGUGGAUGCCCUGGCAGUCAGAGGCGAUGAAGGACGUGCUAAUCUGCGAUAAGCGUCGGUAAGGUGAUAUGAACCGUUAUAACCGGCGAUUUCCGAAUGGGGAAACCCAGUGUGAUUCGUCACACUAUCAUUAACUGAAUCCAUAGGUUAAUGAGGCGAACCGGGGGAACUGAAACAUCUAAGUACCCCGAGGAAAAGAAAUCAACCGAGAUUCCCCCAGUAGCGGCGAGCGAACGGGGAGGAGCCCAGAGCCUGAAUCAGUGUGUGUGUUAGUGGAAGCGUCUGGAAAGGCGCGCGAUACAGGGUGACAGCCCCGUACACAAAAAUGCACAUGCUGUGAGCUCGAUGAGUAGGGCGGGACACGUGGUAUCCUGUCUGAAUAUGGGGGGACCAUCCUCCAAGGCUAAAUACUCCUGACUGACCGAUAGUGAACCAGUACCGUGAGGGAAAGGCGAAAAGAACCCCGGCGAGGGGAGUGAAAAAGAACCUGAAACCGUGUACGUACAAGCAGUGGGAGCACGCUUAGGCGUGUGACUGCGUACCUUUUGUAUAAUGGGUCAGCGACUUAUAUUCUGUAGCAAGGUUAACCGAAUAGGGGAGCCGAAGGGAAACCGAGUCUUAACUGGGCGUUAAGUUGCAGGGUAUAGACCCGAAACCCGGUGAUCUAGCCAUGGGCAGGUUGAAGGUUGGGUAACACUAACUGGAGGACCGAACCGACUAAUGUUGAAAAAUUAGCGGAUGACUUGUGGCUGGGGGUGAAAGGCCAAUCAAACCGGGAGAUAGCUGGUUCUCCCCGAAAGCUAUUUAGGUAGCGCCUCGUGAAUUCAUCUCCGGGGGUAGAGCACUGUUUCGGCAAGGGGGUCAUCCCGACUUACCAACCCGAUGCAAACUGCGAAUACCGGAGAAUGUUAUCACGGGAGACACACGGCGGGUGCUAACGUCCGUCGUGAAGAGGGAAACAACCCAGACCGCCAGCUAAGGUCCCAAAGUCAUGGUUAAGUGGGAAACGAUGUGGGAAGGCCCAGACAGCCAGGAUGUUGGCUUAGAAGCAGCCAUCAUUUAAAGAAAGCGUAAUAGCUCACUGGUCGAGUCGGCCUGCGCGGAAGAUGUAACGGGGCUAAACCAUGCACCGAAGCUGCGGCAGCGACGCUGAUGCGUUGUUGGGUAGGGGAGCGUUCUGUAAGCCUGCGAAGGUGUGCUGUGAGGCAUGCUGGAGGUAUCAGAAGUGCGAAUGCUGACAUAAGUAACGAUAAAGCGGGUGAAAAGCCCGCUCGCCGGAAGACCAAGGGUUCCUGUCCAACGUUAAUCGGGGCAGGGUGAGUCGACCCCUAAGGCGAGGCCGAAAGGCGUAGUCGAUGGGAAACAGGUUAAUAUUCCUGUACUUGGUGUUACUGCGAAGGGGGGACGGAGAAGGCUAUGUUGGCCGGGCGACGGUUGUCCCGGUUUAAGCGUGUAGGCUGGUUUUCCAGGCAAAUCCGGAAAAUCAAGGCUGAGGCGUGAUGACGAGGCACUACGGUGCUGAAGCAACAAAUGCCCUGCUUCCAGGAAAAGCCUCUAAGCAUCAGGUAACAUCAAAUCGUACCCCAAACCGACACAGGUGGUCAGGUAGAGAAUACCAAGGCGCUUGAGAGAACUCGGGUGAAGGAACUAGGCAAAAUGGUGCCGUAACUUCGGGAGAAGGCACGCUGAUAUGUAGGUGAAGUCCCUCGCGGAUGGAGCUGAAAUCAGUCGAAGAUACCAGCUGGCUGCAACUGUUUAUUAAAAACACAGCACUGUGCAAACACGAAAGUGGACGUAUACGGUGUGACGCCUGCCCGGUGCCGGAAGGUUAAUUGAUGGGGUCAGCGCAAGCGAAGCUCUUGAUCGAAGCCCCGGUAAACGGCGGCCGUAACUAUAACGGUCCUAAGGUAGCGAAAUUCCUUGUCGGGUAAGUUCCGACCUGCACGAAUGGCGUAAUGAUGGCCAGGCUGUCUCCACCCGAGACUCAGUGAAAUUGAACUCGCUGUGAAGAUGCAGUGUACCCGCGGCAAGACGGAAAGACCCCGUGAACCUUUACUAUAGCUUGACACUGAACAUUGAGCCUUGAUGUGUAGGAUAGGUGGGAGGCUUUGAAGUGUGGACGCCAGUCUGCAUGGAGCCGACCUUGAAAUACCACCCUUUAAUGUUUGAUGUUCUAACGUUGACCCGUGAUCCGGGUUGCGGACAGUGUCUGGUGGGUAGUUUGACUGGGGCGGUCUCCUCCUAAAGAGUAACGGAGGAGCACGAAGGUUGGCUAAUCCUGGUCGGACAUCAGGAGGUUAGUGCAAUGGCAUAAGCCAGCUUGACUGCGAGCGUGACGGCGCGAGCAGGUGCGAAAGCAGGUCAUAGUGAUCCGGUGGUUCUGAAUGGAAGGGCCAUCGCUCAACGGAUAAAAGGUACUCCGGGGAUAACAGGCUGAUACCGCCCAAGAGUUCAUAUCGACGGCGGUGUUUGGCACCUCGAUGUCGGCUCAUCACAUCCUGGGGCUGAAGUAGGUCCCAAGGGUAUGGCUGUUCGCCAUUUAAAGUGGUACGCGAGCUGGGUUUAGAACGUCGUGAGACAGUUCGGUCCCUAUCUGCCGUGGGCGCUGGAGAACUGAGGGGGGCUGCUCCUAGUACGAGAGGACCGGAGUGGACGCAUCACUGGUGUUCGGGUUGUCAUGCCAAUGGCACUGCCCGGUAGCUAAAUGCGGAAGAGAUAAGUGCUGAAAGCAUCUAAGCACGAAACUUGCCCCGAGAUGAGUUCUCCCUGACUCCUUGAGAGUCCUGAAGGAACGUUGAAGACGACGACGUUGAUAGGCCGGGUGUGUAAGCGCAGCGAUGCGUUGAGCUAACCGGUACUAAUGAACCGUGAGGCUUAACCUUACAACGCCGAAG